rnacentral:rRNA from 1 species
UUGUGGGCGGUCACCCCGGGAACUGGGGCUAAUCCCCGAUAGGCGAAGAACACUGGAAUGUGUCUUCACCCAAAAGGCACCAGAUCAUGCUUCUGGUUCUGCCCAAGGAUAGGGCCGCGACCGAUCAGGCUGUUGGUGAGGUAAUGGCCCACCAAACCUAUAACCGGUGCGGGCCGUGAGAGCGGGAGCCCGGAGAUGGGCACUGAGACAAGGGCCCAGGUCCUACGGGGCGCAGCAGUCGCGAAAACUUUGCAAUACACGAAAGUGUGACAGGGUCAUCCCGAGUGCCGACCGCUGAGGUUGGCUUUUACCCAGUCUAGAAAGCUGGGGGAAUAAGGAGAGGGCAAGUCUGGUGUCAGCCGCCGCGGUAAUACCAGCUCUCCGAGUGGUGUGGACGUUUAUUGGGCCUAAAGCAUCCGUAGCUGGCCAAACAAGUCCCCUGUUAAACCCACCGAUUUAAUCGUUGGUCUGCGGGGGAUACUGCUCGGCUAGGGGACGAGAGAGGCAGGCGGUAUUCCCGGGGUAGGGGUGAAAUCCUAUAAUCCCGAGAAGACCACCAGUGGCGAAGGCUGCCUGCUAGAACGCGCCCGACGGUGAGGGUUGAAAGCUGGGGGAGCGAACCGGAUUAGAUACCCGGGUAGUCCCAGCUGUAAACGAUGCAGACUAGGUGUUUGGACGGCCACGUGCCGUUCUAGUGCCGCAGGGAAGCUGUUAAGUCUGCCGCCUGGGGAGUACGAUCGCAAGAUUGAAACUUAAAGGAAUUGGCGGGGGAGCAC